AUUGAACGCUGGCGGCAUGCCUUACACAUGCAAGUCGAACGGUAACGCGGGGCAACCUGGCGACGAGUGGCGAACGGGUGAGUAACACAUCGGAACGUGCCCAGUAGUGGGGGAUAGCCCGGCGAAAGCCGGAUUAAUACCGCAUACGACCUAAGGGUGAAAGCAGGGGAUCGCAAGACCUUGCGCUAUUGGAGCGGCCGAUGUCAGAUUAGGUAGUUGGUGGGGUAAAAGCCUACCAAGCCGACGAUCUGUAGCUGGUCUGAGAGGACGACCAGCCACACUGGGACUGAGACACGGCCCAGACUCCUACGGGAGGCAGCAGUGGGGAAUUUUGGACAAUGGGCGCAAGCCUGAUCCAGCCAUGCCGCGUGCGGGAAGAAGGCCUUCGGUUGUAACCGCUUUGUCAGGGAAGAAACGGUCUGGGUUAAUACCCUGGGCUAAUGACGGUACCUGAAGAAUAAGACACCGGCUAACUACGUGCCAGCAGCCGCGGUAAU
rnacentral:rRNA from 1 species